UACGGAGGGUGCAAGCGUUGUCCGGAUUUAUUGGGUUUAAAGGGUGCGUAGGCGGCUAAUUAAGUCAGCGGUGAAAUUCCAGAGCUCAACUCUGUGAACUGCCAUUGAUACUGGUUGGCUUGAGUACAGAUGAGGUAGGCGGAAUUGACAGUGUAGCGGUGAAAUGCUUAGAUAUUGUCAAGAACACCUAUUGCGAAGGCAGCUUACUAAACUGUAACUGACGCUGAGGCACGAAAGCGUGGGGA
rnacentral:rRNA from 1 species